AUCGAACGCUGGCGGCAGGCCUAACACAUGCAAGUCGAGCGAGCGGCGGACGGGUGAGUAAUGUCUGGGAAACUGCCUGAUGGAGGGGGAUAACUACUGGAAACGGUAGCUAAUACCGCAUACCAUCAGUUGUGGCCAGACGGGUUUAGCUAGUUGGUGGGGUAAUGGCCCACCAAGGUGACGAUCUCUAGCUGGUUUGAGAGGAUGAUCGGGCACCCUGGGACUGAGACCCGGGCCCGACUCCUACGGGAUGCAGGAGUGGGGAAUUUUUGACAAUUGGCGAAAGCCUGAUCCAGCAAUACCGGGUGUGUGGAGAAGGCCCUAGGGUUGUAAAGCACUUUUGUUAGGGAGAUGUUACCUAACGAAUAAGCACCGGCUAACUCCGUGCCAGCAGCCGCGGUAAUUC
rnacentral:rRNA from 1 species